GGCGGCCCUGGCGCUGACCCCGCCCCGGAAGCCCGGGUCCGCAGGCUCGCUAACCUCCGGGAGGGGCGCGCCGCGCUCUUCACCGCGGACAGCUCGGUGUAAGGUGUGGUGGGAUGCUCACAUUUUGAGAGGCAGGUUGGAACGAGGACCCACAGAAGGAACAACAGGAAUCACAAGAUCGGUACGC